rnacentral:rRNA from 1 species
UACAGAGGUCUCAAGCGUUGUUCGGAUUCAUUGGGCGUAAAGGGUGCGUAGGAGGGCAGGUAAGUCAGUGGUGAAAUCCCCGAGCUUAACUUGGGAACUGCCGUUGAUACUAUCUGUCUUGAAUAUUGUGGAGGUAAGCGGAAUAUGUCAUGUAGCGGUGAAAUGCUUAGAUAUGACAUAGAACACCAAUUGCGAAGGCAGCUUGCUACACAAUCAUUGACUCUGAUGCACGAAAGCGUGGGGAUCAA